UACGUAGGGUGCAAGCGUUAAUCGGAAUUACUGGGCGUAAAGCGUGCGCAGGCGGCUAUGCAAGACAGAUGUGAAAUCCCCGGGCUCAACCUGGGAACUGCAUUUGUGACUGCAUAGCUAGAGUACGGUAGAGGGGGAUGGAAUUCCGCGUGUAGCAGUGAAAUGCGUAGAUAUGCGGGAGGAACACCGAUGGCGAAGGCAAUCCCCUGGACCUGUACUGACGCUCAUGCA
rnacentral:rRNA from 1 species